GGGCGGCUAGCUCAGUUGGUUAGAGCGCCUGCCUUACAAGCAGGAGGCCACUGGUUCGAGUCCAGUGCCGCCCACCA
rnacentral:tRNA from 2 species